rnacentral:rRNA from 1 species
GAUGAACGCUGGCGGCGUGCCUAAUACAUGCAAGUCGAGCGAACAGACGAGGAGCUUGCUCCUCUGACGUUAGCGGCGGACGUGUGAGUACCACGUGGAUAACCUACCUAUAAUACUGGGAUAACUUCGGGAAACCGGAGCUAAUACCGGGUAACAUGUUGAACCGCAUGGUUCAACAGAGGAAGUCGUUCUUUCUGUCACUUAUAGAUGGAUCCUAGCCGCAUUAGCUAGUUGGUAAGGUAACGCUUUACCAAGGCAACGAUGAGUAGCCGACCCGAGAGGAUGAUCGGUCACACUGGAACUGAGACAAGGUGCAGACUCCUAAGGGAGGCAGCAGUAGGGAAUCUUCCGCAAUGGGCGAAAGCCUGACGGAGCAACGCCGCGUGAGUGAAGAAGGGCCUCGUAUCGUAAAACUCUGUUAUUAGAGAAGAACAAAUGUGUAAGUAUCUUUGCACGUCUUGACGGUACCUAAUCAGAAAGCCACGGCUAACUACGUG